UACAGAGGGUGCGAGCGUUAAUCGGAAUUACUGGGCGUAAAGCGUGCGUAGACGGUUAUUUAGGUCGGGUGUGAAAGCCCCGGGCUCAACCUGGGAAUUGCAUUCGAGACUGAAUAGCUAGGGUACGGUAGAGGGAAGCGGAAUUUCCGGUGUAGCGGUGAAAUGCGUAGAUAUGCGGAGGAACACCGAUGGCGAAGGCAAUCCCCUGGACCUGUACUGACGCUCAUGCACGAAAGCGUGGGGAGCAAACAGG
rnacentral:rRNA from 1 species